UGAUCAUCAAGACGACAGGAAAAUCCCCUGCAUGAGCAUGAAGCGAUGCGAAGCAGAGCGGGAAUGCGAAUGCAGGGGAGGAUUGCGGGAGCGCGAAGUGCGGAGCAAUCCGGUGAUCA
rnacentral:sRNA from 1 species